GUGGGCGUGCCGGAGUGGUUAUCGUGCAUGACUAGAAAUCAUGUGGGAUUUGCCCGUGUAGGUUCGAAUCUUGUCGCUCACG
rfam:Ipomoea nil DNA, scaffold: scaffold2283, cultivar: Tokyo-kokei standard.